GGGGCGGGAUGAACUAGCAUGCGAGUCAUUGUAGCAAUACAAGGCAGACGGCUCAGUAACGCGUAGUCAAUCUACCCUAUGGACGGGAAUAACCUCGGGAAACUGAGAAUAAUGCCCGAUAGAACAUUAUACCUGGAACGGUUUAUGUUUCAAAUGAUUUAUCGCCGUAGGAUGGGACUGCGGCCUAUCAGUUUGUUGGUGAGGUAAUGGCCCACCAAGACUAUUACAGGUACGGGCUCUGAGAGGAGUAGCCCGGAGAUGGGUACUGAGACACGGACCCAGGCCCUAUGGGGCGCAGCAGGCGAGAAAACUUUGCAAUGUGCGAAAGCACGACAAGGUUAAUCCGAGUGGUUCCUGCUAAAGGAACCUUUUGUCGGUCCUAGAAACACCGAUGAAUAAGGGGUGGGCAAGUUCUGGUGUCAGCCGCCGCGGUAAAACCAGCACCUCAAGUGGUCAGGAUGAUUAUUGGGCCUAAAGCAUCCGUAGCCGGCUCUGUAAGUUUUCGGUUAAAUCUGUACGCUUAACGUACAGGCUGCCGGGAAUACUGCAUAGCUAGGGAGUGGGAGAGGUAGACGGUACUCGGUAGGAGGGGGUAAAAUCCUUUGAUCUAUUGAUGACCACCUGUGGCGAAGGCGGUCUACCAGAACACGUCCGACGGUGAGGGAUGAAAGCUGGGGGAGCAAACCGGAUUAGAUACCCGGGUAGUCCCAGCUGUAAACUAUGCAAACUCAGUGAUGCAUUGGCUUGUGGCCAAUGCAGUGCUGCAGGGAAGCCGUUAAGUUUGCCGCCUGGGGAAGUACGUACGCAAGUAUGAAACUUAAAGGAAUUGGCGGGGGAGCACCACAAGGGGUGAAGCCUGCGGUUCAAUUGGAGUCAACGCCGGG
rnacentral:rRNA from 1 species